UGCUUCUUCUUCACCUGUGUUUGUGUCUCUGUUGAUCUUUCAGACUCUGGGAAGGAAACUGAAACACUCGCUGCUGAUCAGGAGGAGCUCAAAGGAUAAAAUUGGAGAUGAAUUGAAGAGCUCAGAGAUGAACGCAAACUCACAGAAUCGAGGCUCAAAGCUCUUUGAUGGCACAGAUGAGUUUUUCGCUCCAGAAGAAGAAGAAGAACAGAAUGAAGCUGCC